UAUGUUACACCUACAACACAUCCCACACUGGAGGAGCCACCCUCCCAGGGCGAGACAGCAACACAGGCCUCCUGGCCACCCACACAGAGAAUAGAUACAUGAACUUCGGUACAUUGAUGCGGCAGAAUAAGACGGUGUACAGCAGUGACACCAAAGGAACCAUGGCUACAGGUAGCAGCAGCUGAACCUCACAAGUAAAACCGAGAGACUGCAAAGGACUGUAGACUGCAUGAUGUUACAUGUCUGUAACAUUCAAAAGGAAGGCAACACCGUUGUACUUAGUGAUGUUGAGCUAAGCCUCUGCAGAAAGGCGAAGCUGUGAUUGCACUGCAGCCCGUAG
rnacentral:lncRNA from 10 species